AAGGAUUUCACUAAGAAAUGUUGUAAUUUUCACCGGUACUCCAGGCGCAAUCAGUUGUCACACCGUCAUUUAAAAAAAAAAAGACGGAUAUCGCUCAAAAGUCACUGGGAGCCAAUCAAAAGUGUGCUAUCUAUGGUACAGUUUUGCUAUAUUAAGAAAUCGUUUUCCUACUCUUAUUUUAUUGAAUCAAAAUAUAAAGUGUCGGUUAUUGGGUCUUGUCGGUCAUUGGUGCCACUACGGUAUAUAUAUUUGAAAACUUGUAAAUAUUUAUUUU